rnacentral:snRNA from 1 species
ACAGAUUGGAGUUAACUUUUA